UCGUAACAAGGUUUCCGUAGGUGAACCUGCGGAGGAUCAUUA
rnacentral:rRNA from 1 species